rnacentral:rRNA from 1 species
UGAGGAAUAUUGGUCAAUGGGCGAGAGCCUGAACCAGCCAAGUAGCGUGCAGGAUGACGGCCCUAUGGGUUGUAAACUGCUUUUAUGUGGGGAUAAAGUGCGUGACGUGUCAUGCAUUGCAGGUACCACAUGAAUAAGGACCGACUAAUUCCGUGCCAGCAGCCGCGGUAAUACGGAAGGUCCGGGCGUUAUCCGGAUUUAUUGGGUUUAAAGGGAGCGUAGGCUGUCUAUUAAGCGUGUUGUGAAAUAUACCGGCUCAACCGGUGGCUUGCAGCGCGAACUGGUCGACUUGAGUAUGCAGGAAGUAGGCGGAAUUCAUGGUGUAGCGGUGAAAUGCUUAGAUAUCAUGACGAACUCCGAUUGCGCAGGCAGCUUACUGUAGCAUAACUGACGCUGAUGCUCGAAAGUGCGGGUAUCAAACAGG